AGAGAGAGAGAGAGAGAGAGAGAGAGAGAGAGAGAGAGAGAGAGAGAGAGAGAGAGAGAGAGGAAGAGGAUAGUAAGUGCUAUCUUUUAGAGGUGCGGGGAGAGAAACGUCCUUCCGCUGUCCUUUCAUUGACGCUGCUAGCUGACGUCACGAUCUUGGGGAAGUCGAUCACGGUGUGUCGACACCUUUUUGUCACCCGGAGGAUAACUAUGAUCGCAAUUCCACGAUACAUCAAUGACGGACGAGAGAGACGGUUGCAAAAGCUACGGAUUCGCGUAAUUUGCAUCUGAAUUUAUGUGCGCACGCUCGCGCCUCGAUUCAACACACAUGAAAAAAAAACACAACACACAAAGAGAUACGUACACGGACAGCUAAAUGAAUACAGAAACGAUACAUGCAUACAUACACGUAUACGUUCUCACACUUGUACACGUAACUUAGGCCGCUCGGUUUAGUACUUUUAACGAUGAUAAAAAUGUUCGUUUAUAUCUGAUACAAUGAUAGUUGAAUAAAAUGUUUGUUAUAGCCAAGUA